GCGCCGGUGGUGUAAGGCGAACAUCGCUGCCCGGAAAGCAGAAGGUACGCGUUCGAGUCCCGCCUGGCGCA
rnacentral:tRNA from 1 species